UAAUAUUUUUGUGGGAGCUUAGUGAACUAGGCUGAGAGGAAACUAUUUAGUUUCGACCAAACUUGAUCUAGGUAAUGCUAGCGGAAGUAAUAAAUUUUUAUUUAUC
rnacentral:ncRNA from 2 species